GUGCUCACUUUGGCAGCUUCUAUACUAAAAUUGGAAUAUACAGAGAUUAGCAUGGCCCCUGCGCAAGGAUGACAUGCAAAUUCAUGAAGAAAUAACAACUCAA
ensembl:snRNA U6 U6 spliceosomal RNA